rnacentral:rRNA from 1 species
GAAUCUUACCGGGUCCGGACAUAUCGAGGAUUGACAGACAGUUACCAUGCCCUUUCGAAAGGAGUCAGGUUUUAAACCUAAUGGCUCUUUCAUGAUUAUAUGAUAGGUGGUGCAUGGCCGUUCUUAGUUCGUGGAGUGAUCUGUCUGCUUAAUUGCGUUUCAAAUUUUUAUUUGAGGACCAGGUUUUGGUUUGGGUAGUGGUCCUACGAUGACUGUGAACUGUCAUGUCUUCGGAUGUGCGACUAUCGGU